rnacentral:rRNA from 1 species
CCUACGGGAAGCAGCAGUGGGGAAUAUUGCACAAUGGGCGAAAGCCUGAUGCAGCAACGCCGCGUGAGCGAUGAAGGCCUUCGGGUCGUAAAGCUCUGUCCUCAAGGAAGAGAAUGACGGUACGUGAGGAGGAAGCCCCGGCUAACGACGUGCCAGCAGCCGCGGGAAUACGUAGGGGGCUAGCGUUAUCCGGAAUUACUGGGCGUAAAGGGUGCGUAGGUGGUUUCUUAAGUCAGAGGUUAAAGGCUACGGCUCACCCGUAGUAAGCCUUUGAAACGGGGGAACUUGAGUGCAGGAGAGGAGAGUGGAAUUCCUGGUGUAGCGGUGAAAUGCGUCGAUAUUAGGAGGAACCCCAGUUGCGAAGGCGGCUCUCUGGACUGUACCUGACACUGAGGCACGACAGCGUGGGGAGCAAACAGGAUUAGAUACCCUAGUAGUC